GUGCUCGCUUUGGUGGCACAUAUACUAAAAUUGGAACGAUAUAGAGAUUAGCAUGGCCCCUACGCAAGGAUGAUAAGCAAAUUUGUGAAGCGUUCCAUAUUUUU